AUACGUAGGGGGCGAGCGUUGUCCGGAAUGAUUGGGCGUAAAGGGCGCGUAGGCGGCGCGGUAAGUCUGGAGUGAAAGUCCUGCUUUCAAGGUGGGAAUUGCUUUGGAUACUGCCGCGCUUGAGUGCAGGAGAGGUUAUCGGAAUUCCCGGUGUAGCGGUGAAAUGCGUAGAGAUUGGGAGGAACACCAGUGGCGAAGGCGGGUAACUGGACUGCAACUGACGCUGAGGCGCGAAAGUGUGGGGAGCAAACAGGAUUAGAUACCCUGGUAGUCCACACUGUAAACGAUGAAUGCUAGGUGUAAGAGGUAUCGACCCCUUUUGUGCCGGAGUCAACACAAUAAGCAUUCCGCCUGGGGAGUACGGCCGCAAGGUUGAAACUCAAAGGAAUUGACGGGG
rnacentral:rRNA from 1 species